AAAUUCAGUAUGCAGAGUGACAGAAAUAACACGCAUUCUCGUAGUAUGGCCGACCGAACGGCGUAGAGUCUAUCGCUGAAUCCGAGCCUCUCCCGCAGGGGCUCAGGAGCUGUAGCGUAUAGAGUGCGGUGUCGUCGCGGUCCCUGCCGCUCCAAGUCUCCCUUGAGUGGCGCCCCUGAGAAGGUGCUAGGCCUGUCGGGGUGGCGGUGGCCGUGGCGCUUUGCACCACGCUCUCGCAGUCGGCUUGUUUGGGAUCGCAGCCCACAGUGGGUGGUGAACUUCAUCUCAGACUAAAUACGACUACUACACCGACAGCGAACAAGUACCGUGAGCGAUAGUUGCUUAGCACUUUGAAGAGAGAGUUAAAGAGGACGUGAAACCGAUUAGGUGGCAGCGCAUAGAGCCAACGUAUCUGGCUUGCAUUCAGCCGUGCGGCUGGCGUCCGCCCUGCGAGUGGAACCCGCUUCUGGUCCGCUCGUGGGUGCUGGCCGUCGGCCGUCGGUGCAUUGNUGAGUGGAGUGCGCUGAGGUGUGCGCCACAGCGGUCCGAGGCGCUCGCCAGAGGACUCCUCUUCGGGGGAGAAACCCGGCGACGUGGAGGACUGUNUGCGACGCAUUCACCCAGGGAGGAACGGCCUUGCGGUCCGACGGCCAUCGCUUCGGCCCCCUGGUGCCGGUCACAUGUGACACGGGCCGUGGGGCAGGAGUCGGUGGUCGGCGGAUCCCGUCCCGCCCGCAAUCUCGGCGUAAAAGUUGGUCAUCUCUCCGA
rnacentral:rRNA from 1 species